rnacentral:rRNA from 1 species
AUUGAACGCUGGCGGCAGGCCUAACACAUGCAAGUCGAACGAGUGGCGGACGGGUGAGUAAUGUCUGGGAAACUGACUGAUGGAGGGGGAUAACUACUGGAAACGGUAGCUAAUACCGCAUACCAUCGGAUGUGCCCAGAUGGGAUUAGCUAGUAGGUGGGGUAAAGGCUCACCAAGGCGACGAUACCUAGCUGGUCUGAGAGGAUGAAAAGCCACACUGGAAAUGAAGCACAGUCCAGAAUCAUGAGGCAGGCAGCAGUGGGGAAUAUUUCACAAUGGAUGCAAGACUGACGCAGCAAUGCCGAGUGGAUAAAGAAGGCCUUCGGGUUGUAAAGUACUUUCAGCGGGGAGGCGUUACCCGCAGAGGAAGCACCGGCUAACUCCGUGACAGCAGCCGCGGUAAUUC